rnacentral:sRNA from 1 species
ACAGACAGGCUGUUGUAGCUUAAUUCCACACACGUAUCGACACACCAUCUAGGGUGCCCUUAAGGGUUGGAUGGCGGGAUGCGUGGAGGCCUAACC